ACAGCCAUAAUAUGUUGAAACACCAGUUCUCAUACAAUCACUGAAGUUAAGCAACAUCGAGGAGCCUGGUUAGUACCAAGAUGGGUGACAGUUUGGGAAUACCAAGUGUUGUAA